ACAGCUUCAUGUCUAUGAAGGUUACUAGCUGUAAGGACAAGUUACAUCCACAUGUAGUCUGGGAACUGCCAGUAUUUUGAUUAUUCUCGGUAUGACUGUGGCCCCAGGAGUCAAAGCAUACUGAUAACUGCAUCUAUAAAAAGGAGCUCUAAAGCUUGCUGCAUAGCACUGCAGCUGCCUGGAGAAUCAACAUUACCCAUGGAAACCUCUGCAGAAGGGUUUCUGCACCCAGCUGCCGUCCUCCAGCUGCGUCAGAAAAGAAGGCUCAAGGCUCCCCUGGGGUUCAAGCAGCUGAGGAGUUGAGGAUCAGAGUGUAUGAAUCACUAGGAAGAGAUGAUCCUCCUCCACUGUGAAAAUCUGACACUCACACCUUCACUCAAGAAAAAAAAAGGUGUUUUCUCUCUCCAGCUCCAGUGUCCAGCUCUGAAACCCACCCAAGUCUAGAACCUUCCAAGGUGCAACACAGAGUUGCUGAUCCAGAAGAAGCAAUGCUGGGAAGAUCUAGCGCUCCUCCUAGCCAGAAAGAUCCAGUCUCUGCUUGAAGGAACUGACUGUCUCUCGUGAAAUAUAUUACAUGUGGCUGCUCUGUCUCUCACAUGGCAUUUCUCUGCUUGUGUUACAAAAAGUAGAGGCGGGGGCUAUACAUUAAAGCAAGCAGAUCAUAAAGAUGAAGGUGUAAUCACAGUUUUACUUCACAUCUGAGUGCUCAGGGAAAGUAAGCAUGAAGGAGCUGCAAGUAGAACAAAAGCAAAUUCAGCCUUCCAUCUGGUAGAAAAAAAUCUGCUGGUGUAUUGAAAAUUGUUCAGAACAAUGCAAAAUUUCCCCCCUGCACAUUACAGGAUCAGUUAUUGCUCACAGCAAAGUUGCAAGUCUAGCAUCUCUAUGCAAGCUGACACUCAAAUGGCCAGAUACUAGGUAGAUGGAUGCCUUGCUGAGAACUUCCUCAGAUUCACCCAGUGCUUCAGAAAAGAAAAAAAAAGGAAAAAAAAAAAAAAGAAAAAAAAGAAAAAAAAAAGGAAAAGAAAAUAAAAGGGGAAAAAAAGAAAAAAAAUUAAGGGACUCUUAGAAGUCCUCUUCUGGGGAGGACUCAGCUUUCAAAGUGCACACAGUAUUCAUGAGCAUGACUGGGACUGGGACUUAUUCUUGUGGAAAAACACUGUAGUUCUUUUGAUUGCACUGGCUGUAUUUCAGAGUACUGCUGUCUGGUUACUACAAGGGGUGGCCAGAGUUCACAGUGUAUGUUCUAGCACCAAACAAAUGCAGGAUUAGUAAGGUGUUGUAUUCCUCACAGCAAUGAUAGUGUGUCCCUGACAAUACCUUUCAUAUUCCUAGGAGAGAAAGCUAAUGCUGGUCCUUGCAGUUAAAGUUGAUGUAGUCAUAAUAAGCAGUACUUAAAAACCUCACAUUGCUGUCAAGGGUCCUCACAAAGGGUCAUUUGUAAUGAAACACAAGACAACUCUGGUGGACUGAUUUCUGGGAAGAAAUAGCAAUUAGGUAACACUUACAUAAGAAUCAAUGUCUGGCUUUAGCUUUUCGGUUGUCUGAUUUGCUGCUCCAGCACCCUUUAGUACCUUUUGUAAAUACAUCCUCCUGUGCACUUAUUGGCAACUUGCACUCCCCUGACCCACAGAGCUACCUUCAGUUUUCUGAGUCCAGCCUGCAUUUAACAUUUCUUGCUAAGCAAUUUUGAAAACCAGUGGAGUAACAUCAAAUAAUAUUUGAGAAAUUUGCAGGAGAUGAUUGCAAGCAGCAAAGCUGUGAUUGCUGAAAUAUUGACAAUAAGGACAUGCAAGAUGCUUGUCUUGUCACUUCCAUUUUACCACUUACCUUUAAUUAAACUGAAAAACAAAGGCAUCUUGGUUCUCCUCCCUGAACAUACAUACUGCAAUACAGUAAUUGUGUUGGUGGUCUGUACUAUUAAAGAUGGGUAAAAAUGUUUAGAAGAGACAGAAUUUGUCUUUGACAAAUGUAAGGAGAGAUGAGGCAGGAUACUACAGAGAAUCACUGCAUCAGGGUUUUUGCAGCUCUAAUUUGAACAUGACUAUUUUUAGAAGACCUGUUGUGCAUACCAACAACACUAAUGAGACAACCAUAUUCCUAAAGCCAGUGACAUCACAUGCAGCUCUCAGGAUUUAACUAUAGCAUGUGUUUGGCAAAUAGUGAUAAAAGGUAUUUAAUUAUUUUUGUUUCCAUCAAGCUGAAUUAUGCUUUUAUUUUGCCUGUCUUUUCCUUUUAGUAGUCUUGAGAAUAAUUUUACAGCCUCUAGUUCCUACUAUUUAAUGGAGUGAAUGACUUUUCUACAAAAUUCAGAUGUUUUAUGAUGGAAGCCACGAUUUCCUGUUGCCUUUAUUUUAUUGCUAUUCUGUGAUCCUUCUAAGAUUUUGGGAAGUAAAUAACUCCUACACAGAAA